AAAAAAAACAGCUUGUGUUUUUCUUCUUAACAAACCAUGGUUCUUCCAGUGAUUUCACAGGUAACAUACUCCCUGCUUAGUAUUUUAAAGAAACUUCUGAAUUUUUGCUCUCUAUAUCUUCCAGUCGAUUACAGGGUUUCAAUUUAUUGCGAGUUCGAAGAUUUUCAAUUAUUCUUUCCUCCAAUUUCUCAACUUUUUUAAUCGAGAAGUCAGUGAAGAUGAGGAGUUACACCUGAUAGGUUGGUUGAUUAAAUAGGAGGAAAUUUGGUUUCGAUGUUUGACUGUGGUGAUAAAUGGCGCAGAUUGAUUGAUGGUUGAUUUGAGCUCUGUAAUGAAUUAGGAUUCAGUAUGGGUUUAUGUGAAUUUGAUUGUUGUGCAGGGAAGGAGUUGUAAUGCCUCAAAAAUCAGAACCAACAGAGUACACAAGCGCUGUUUGCUAAAAUGCCUAAAUGAAUUGAUUAGCUUUUGUGCUACUGUAAGGCUGUUGUUGCCGAUUGAAUGAGGGGUUUAAUGGGUACUGGUGGAGUCAAAUGUUUUCAUCGCUUGGAGGACAUGGUAUGGGUAGUAGGCGGAGUUGUUUUUGGCAGAGAGAAUGCAGGCAGAUGUCAUAACUUUUGUUGGCGAGGUUGGUCGAGUGUAUUUGAGCACACCUACAAAGAUUGCCAUCAUAGACCAUGAGAAGAAAAGAACCUUUGUAUUGAGAAAAGAAAGCCUGCCUGAUGCAGGUGUGGUUUCUAAAUGCCAGUACUGUUGAGAUGACGAACACCGGAAUCCAAAGUGGCUCACUCCGCAUGACCAACCAGAGGUGCAGGGUUUGGCAGCUACACUAUCAACUGAAAUAUGUGCAAAUAAUACUCCCAUCGGGUUGUUUUCCAUGGCUGAAUAAAACUACUAAAGAGUAAAUUGAGAACGUGAAAAAGAAGGAAGAGUGGAUGGGAGAGUGGUGGUGGUGUUGUGGCAUCUGGUGGACUUGGUGAUAAACUAACUCUAAAGUCUAAAGCUCUUGGAAUUUUGAGAGAGGAAAAUGCUAUUGAAUGUUAGUGCCAGAGGUUGCGAGCAAUGAUAGCAAGUCAAGUCAUCCCAUGAUUGCUGCGUGGAUUUCGGGGGUUCAAACCCUAUUAAACCAAUCCCAGAAUAUUAAAAUUUUCCCGGGGAAGAAAUUUCCAAAGAAAUGGAUGGGAAAAAGUUUUAUGCUAGAAAUAAGAAAGUGGAAGUACUUAUACUUACGUCCAUAAAUCUUAAGUACGUAUUUCUAGAGGACAUAUAGAUAGGCGAGACAGGGCGGUGCAAAGCUCCGCCACUCCAAAUAAAAAUUCUCAUCAAACCAGUUCGUAUCACAGGUUAAAUAUGCCCGAUGUGUAGGACAUUCAUCUCGAAGCCGAGCGACACCAAAUAAAAAUGCAUUACGCCGGGCGAGGCGAAACCAAGCCACACCAAAUCAAAAAUCCUAAGCAUGUAUCGGGAUGGGACAACACCAAAUCUAAUAUUCUAGGCAUGCAUCGGGACAGGGCGAGGACGUGGUGAGGCGAAGCUGAGCCACACCAAAUCAAAAAUCUUAAGCGAUUGGGCGGAGGGAAGCCCCGCGACACCAAAUAAAAAUGCACGACGGGGCGAAGCGAAGCAACAUCACACCACUCCAAAAAAAAUAUAGUUAAAAAUAAAAAUCGAUGGUAGAUGGUUUUCGGGUCCGCCCGGUACGUAGUAUGGGCACAAAAUCUAGUUUUCUCUUACUUAGGAUGGGAUCUUUAGACCGGUGUUAAUUAAUGGCUGGCCGCUGGUCAUGUAUGAGUGCUAUAGACAGUCAGGCAACAUAAUACGACUUUAUUAAGUUCUUAAACUUUUUUUUUUCUUUUUAUGUUUCUUCACAGUGAUUGGAUCCUAUUUACUUAUCAUUGAACUCCGAGACUCGUAAUUGUUAUAACGAUUUUUUUUCUUUGGAGCAAUUGGCAUCCAAUACUGAAUCCUAAACAGACGCAUUCUAUAUUUCAGGGAAUGUGGGUGAUCAA